rnacentral:rRNA from 1 species
GACGAACGCUGGCGGCGUGCCUAAUACAUGCAAGUAGGACGCAGUUGCGAACGGGUGAUUAACGCGUAGGUAACUACCUAUUAGAGGGGGAUAACUAUUGGAUACGAUAGCUAAUACCGCAUACUAGUAGAUGGACCUGCGUUGUAUUAGCUAGUAGGUUGGGUAAUGGCCUACCUAGGCAACGCUACAUAGCAGAACUGAGAGGAUGAACGGCCACACUGGGACUGAGACACGGCCCAGACUCCCACGGGAAGCAGCAGGAGGGAAUCUUCGGAAAUGGGGGGAACGCUGACCGAGCAACGCCGCGGGAGGGAAGAAGGUUUUCGGAUCGUAAAGCUCUGUUGUUAAGGAAGCGGUACUUAACCAGAAAGAGACGGCUAACUACGUGCCAGCAGCCGCGGUAAUAC